AACGUACGCUGGCGGCACGCUUAACACAUGCAAGUCGAACGAAGUAGCAAUACUUAGUGGCAGACGGGUGAGUAACAUGUGGGUAUCUGCCCUUUGGCCUGGAAUAACACGAGGAAACUUGUGCUAAUACCGGAUAAGUCUUUACGGAGAAAGCUUUAUGCACCAUUGGAUGAGCCUGCACUUGAUUAGUUUGUUGGUGGGGUAAUGGCCUACCAAGACUGUGAUCAAUAGCUGAUUUGAGAGGAUGAUCAGCCACAUUGGGACUGAGACACGGCCCAAACUCCUACGGGAGGCAGCAGUGGGGAAUCUUGCACAAUGGAGGAAACUCUGAUGCAGCGAUGCCGCGUGAGUGAAGAAGGCCCUUGGGUUGUAAAGCUCUUUCGUCGGGGAAGAAAAUGACUGUACCCGAAUAAGAAGGUCCGGCUAACUUCGUGCCAGCAGCCGCGGUAAUACGAAGGGACCUAGCGUAGUUCGGAAUUACUGGGCUUAGAGAGUUCGUAGGUGGUUGAAAAAGUUAGUGGUGAAAUCCCAGAGCUUAACUCUGGAACUGCCAUUAAAACUUUUCAGCUAGAGUAUGAUAGAGGAAAGCAGAAUUUCUAGUGUAGAGGUGAAAUUCGUAGAUAUUAGAAAGAAUACCAAUUGCGAAGGCAGCUUUCUGGAUCAUUACUGACACUGAGGAACGAAAGCAUGGGUAGCGAAGAGGAUUAGAUACCCUCGUAGUCCAUGCCGUAAACGAUGUGUGUUAGACGUUGGAAAUUCAUUUUCAGUGUCGCAGCGAAAGCGAUAAACACACCGCCUGGGGAGUACGACCGCAAGGUUAAAACUCAAAUGAAUUGACGGGGACCCGCACAAGUAGUGGAGCAUGUGGUUUAAUUCGAAGAUACGCGCAGAACCUUACCAACACUUGACAUGUUCGUCGCGACUCUAAGAGAUUAGAGUUUUCGGUUCGGCCGGACGAAACACAGGUGCUGCAUGGCUGUCGUCAGCUCGUGUCGUGAGAUGUUGGGUUAAGUCCCGCAACGAGCGCAACCCUCACUUUUAGUUGCCAUCAUUAAGUUGGGCACUCUGAAAGAACUGCCAGUGAUAAGCUGGAGGAAGGUGGGGAUGACGUCAAGUCCUCAUGGCCCUUACGUGUUGGGCUACACACGUGCUACAAUGGUAUCUACAACAGGAAGCAAGACUGCGAGGUCAAGCAAAUCCUUAAAAGAUACCCCAGUUCGGAUUGCACUCUGCAACUCGAGUGCAUGAAGCUGGAAUUACUAGUAAUCGUGGAUCAGCGUGCCACGGUGAAUGCGUUCCCGGGUCU
rnacentral:rRNA from 1 species